AUAAAAUGGUGAUGACAUCACAAUCAGUUAUUGUAAAGAACAGAAUGACACCUGAAAGGUCUUUUGAAAGUGUACGUAAAUAAAGUUACUUCCACUGCAAGAAAGCAGACCAUGCUCUUUCACUUGAGCUGAGAACAACUACAUUAAUAGAAAAAUUCUGAUGGUACAAGGGGGAAAAAGCUAUGUAAGCCUCAUACAAUACAUCCAGUCUAUUUGAAGAAAGCUUGUCUUGCUCAUGCUUUUACAGUUAAAGCUGAUGGAUUUAGUACAGAUUGUCCAAGUCAUUUUAUCUUUACUUACAAAGGAAACCUACUGGUUGAUGGAACGAUGCUUGAUAACACGAACAGUGCACUUCAUUUGUAGUUAUUAAACACUCAGCAGGCUCCUCACCACACUGACAUGAGUUCCCCCGUCAGGACUCCUGUGUGACAUGGCCCCACUGUGUAAGAUGCCAUUUACUGAAAAUGAGAAUUCAGCUUGGAUCAUUAAUAAAUGCCAUGAUGCUCUAAAACAAAUACAUCACUUGUUCUAUGAAAAAUAAAAUGCACAGUCCAAGGACAAACAA